rnacentral:misc_RNA from 1 species
UCCGGUUUGUCACCGGCAGUCUCCUUAGAGUUCCCGCCAUUACGCGCUGGCAACUAAGGACAAGGGUUGCGCUCGUUGCGGGACUUAACCCAACAUCUCACGACACGAGCUGACGACAGCCAUGCAGCGCCUGUCUCACGGUUCCCGAAGGCGCAUCCGCAUCUCUGCAGACUUCCGUGGAUGUCAAGACCAGGUAAGGUUCUUCGCGUUGCAUCGAAUUAAACCACAUACUCCACCGCUUGUGCGGGCCCCCGUCAAUUCCUUCGAGUUUUAGUCUUGCGACCGUACUCCCCAGGCGGGCUACUUAAUGCGUUAGCUUCGGCACAGGAGGGGUCAACACCCUCCACACCUAGUAGCCAUCGUUUACUGCUAGGACUAA